AAACCAGCACCUCAAGUGGUCAGGAUGAUUAUUGGGCCUAAAGCAUCCGUAGCCGGCUCUGUAAGUUUUCGGUUAAAUCUGUACGCUUAACGUACAGGCCGCCGGGAAUACUGCAGAGCUAGGGAGUGGGAGAGGUAGACGGUACUCGGGAGGAAGUGGUAAAAUGCUUUGAUCUCUCGAUGACCACCUGUGGCGAAGGCGGUCUAUCAGAACACGUCCGACGGUGAGGGAUGAAAGCUGGGGGAGCAAACCGGAUUAGAAACCCGUGUAGUCC
rnacentral:rRNA from 1 species